AUUGAACGCUGGCGGCAGGCCUAACACAUGCAAGUCGAGCGGAUGAAGGGAGCUUGCUCCUGGAUUCAGCGGCGGACGGGUGAGUAAUGCCUAGGAAUCUGCCUGGUAGUGGGGGAUAACGUCCGUAAACGGGCGCUAAUACCGCAUACGUCCUGAGGUAGAAAGUGGGGGAUCUUCGGACCUCACGCUAUCAGAUGAGCCUAGGUCGGAUUUGCUAGUUGGUUGGGUAAGGGCCUACCAAGGCGACGAUCCGUAACUGGUCUGAGAGGAUGAUCAGUCACACUGGAACUGAGACACGGUCCAGACUCCUACGGGAGGCAGCAGUGGGGAAUAUUGGACAAUGGGCGAAAGCCUGAUCCAGCAAUGCCGCGUGUGUGAAGAAGGUCUUCGGAUUGUAAAGCACUUUAAGUUGGGAGGAAGGGCAGUAAGUUAAUACCUUGCUGUUUUGACGUUACCAAAAGAAUAAGCACCGGCUAACUUCGUG
rnacentral:rRNA from 1 species